rnacentral:rRNA from 1 species
AGCAGCCGCGGUAAUUCCAGCUCCAAUAGCGUAUAUUAAAGUUGUUGCAGUUAAAAAGCGUCGUAGUUGAAUUUCGGGGUUAGUAGGUUGGUCAUGCCUCUGGUAUGUACUGGUCUCACUGAUUCCUCCUUCCUGAUGAACCUUAAUGCCAUUAAUUUGGUGUUUUGGGGAAUUUGGACUGUUACUUUGAAAAAAUUAGAGUGUUUAAAGCAAGCUAACGCUUGAAUACAUUAGCAUGGAAUAAUGAAAUAGGACGUUCGAUCCUAUUUUGUGGUUUCUAGAAUUGACGUAAUGAUUAAUAGGGAUAGUUGAGGGCAUUAGUAUUCAAUUGUCAGAGGUGAAAUUCUUGGAUUUAUUGAAGCCUAACUACUGCGAAAGCAUUUGCCAGGAUGUUUUCAUUAAUCAAGAACGAAGUUAGGGGAUCGAGGACGAUCAGAUACCGUCGUAGUCUUAACCAUAAACUAUGCCGACUAGGGAUCGGAUGAUGUUAAUUUUUUAAUGUACUCAUUCGGCGCCUUAC